AUUGAACGCUGGCGGCAUGCCUUACACAUGCAAGUCGAACGGUAACAGGUCUUCGGAUGCUGACGAGUGGCGAACGGGUGAGUAAUACAUCGGAACGUGCCCGAUCGUGGGGGAUAACGCAGCGAAAGCUGUGCUAAUACCGCAUACGAUCUACGGAUGAAAGCGGGGGAUCGCAAGACCUCGCGCGGACGGAGCGGCCGAUGGCAGAUUAGGUAGUUGGUGGGAUAAAAGCUUACCAAGCCGACGAUCUGUAGCUGGUCUGAGAGGACGACCAGCCACACUGGGAGUGAGACACGGCCCAGACUCCUACGGGAGGCAGCAGUGGGGAAUUUUGGACAAUGGGCGCAAGCCUGAUCCAGCCAUGCCGCGUGCAGGAUGAAGGCCUUCGGGUUGUAAACUGCUUUUGUACGGAACGAAAAAGUUCUCUCUAAUACAGGGGGCGAAUGACGGUACCGUAAGAAUAAGCACCGGCUAACUACGUGCCAGCCGCCGCAGUAACAC
rnacentral:rRNA from 1 species